CCCAGACUCCUACGGGAGGCAGCAGUGGGGAAUAUUGCACAAUGGGCGAAAGCCUGAUGCAGCGACGCCGCGUGAAGGAUGAAGUAUUUCGGUAUGUAAACUUCUAUCAGCAGGGAAGAAAAUGACGGUACCUGACUAAGAAGCCCCGGCUAACUACGUGCCAGCAGCCGCGGUAAUACGUAGGGGGCAAGCGUUAUCCGGACUUACUGGGUGUAAAGGGAGCGCAGGCGGCGCGCCAAGUCUGAUGUGAAACCCCGGGGCUCAACCCCGGGCAUGCAUUGGAAACUGGCGGGCUGGAGUGCCGGAGAGGUAAGCGGAAUUCCUAGUGUAGCGGUGAAAUGCGUAGAUAUUAGGAGGAACACCAGUGGCGAAGGCGGCUUACUGGACGGCAACUGACGCUGAGGCUCGAAAGCGUGGGGAGCAAACAGGAUUAGAUACCCUUGUA
rnacentral:rRNA from 1 species